GACGAACGCUGGCGGCGCGCCUAACACAUGCAAGUCGAGCGGAGUUUUUAAGUGGAAGCUUUCGGGUGGAAAUUUUGAAACUUAGCGGCGGACGGGUGAGUAACACGUGAGCAACCUGCCUUUCAGAGGGGGAUAACGUUUGGAAACGAACGCUAAUACCGCAUAACACCGAGACGUCACAUGGCGAUUCGGUCAAAGGAGCAAUCCGCUGAGAGAUGGGCUCGCGUCCGAUUAGAUAGUUGGCGGGGUAACGGCCUACCAAGGCGACGAUCAGUAGCCGACCUGAGAGGGUGAUCGGCCACAUUGGAACUGAGACACGGUCCAA
rnacentral:rRNA from 1 species